GGAGGUGGUAGGCCUGCAAAGUGCGCUACAUCCUGUGGCAAAGCAGACAUGACCCGCAUCCUGCUUG
rnacentral:sRNA from 1 species